CCGCCACGUCCUCGCACAUGCUGAGCAGCAGACCCUCCAGCUCUGCACCCAGCUCCACUGGCUACAACGGCAAAAAUGGGUGAAAAGCUAACAGCCGGAAAGAGACAGAGUUUGACCAGGAUGAAGGGGAUACCUGGUUCUGAGCGGCACUCCUCGUGGCAGCAGGGUGACCCUUCCGGACCUCUGGAGCUGUGAAGGAGGCCACAUCUUCACAUCGAGCGCAGCUUUUGAAGGCCAGGCUCCCGUCAGCUGACAGCAGCACGGAGCCAGGGCUCAGCACGCUGCGCAUGUUACAUGAACCUGAACGGAGAGCAAAGGAAGGAGGCAAAUCAGGCUGGCGGAAGCAAAUCUUGAAUUAAGUCCUCAACAGAGCAAAGAGGGGGAAUGAAGAGUCGCUGCACAAAUCACACAUUUUAAUCUUGUGCUAUUUUAAAUAGAUGCAGAAAGAAAUGACCUUUUUCAGAGAUGUCCAUUAAAGCCUCAGUGGUGGCAAACAGGAGACUCCAGACCUCCUCCUCAUCCAGCGGUGACCCUCGGGCCUCCAACACUUCUGCCAGGGUCACGAACGUGCCCAUCCUGCUGGAGCCUGACCUGACUCCAGUCCAACACAUAUGUCAGAUACAAACUACAGAGCAAUGGAGCGCCACUUGCCCCCGAGGAUCUGGGAGCUCUGGACACGGUUCAGACGGUGGAGCCGCGGAGGCAGACAGCGGUGGCAGCCGGAGGGGGAAGUUGCUGUGCACGGUCGUCCACCUAGGCGUUGGAGGACUCGCUUUGAGCGAGCCACUUCCCACGUUCUGGAAGUUGGCCCCCCCACCUCUGGCAUUGAGGUACCCCGCUUUGACCUGCCUUCUUACACACAACUUCCUCUUUACACUGAUCUCUUUCCUCCUCAUUCUCCUCCACGCUUUCCUGUUCCUUCUGCUAUUCCUUCCACACCCCCUCCUCCCUAUUCUCCUCCACGCUCUCCUGUUCCUUCUUCUGUUCCUUCCACACCCCCUCCUCCCUAUUCUCCUGUUCCCUCUUGCUCUUUUGCUGCUCCUCAUUCUCCUCCACGCUCUCCUGUUCGUCCUUCUUCUGUUCCUUCCACGCCCCCUCCUCCUUAUUCUCCUGUUCUUUCUUGCUCUCCGGCUCCUCCUCUUUCUCCUCCAUGCUCUUUUGCUCCUUCUUCUUCUAUUCCACCUUCACCCCCUGCUCCUUCCCCUCUGGUUCCACUUAUUGUGGCUCCUUCUGAGCUGCCCUGUGUUCCCGAUGCUGGCCUUUCCCUGUCUCCUGUUAUUCAGGACUCAGGCUCCACAGUGGAAGGGACCAGCGAGGACUUAGCGGUUGGGGAAACCAACGAGGCUCCUAGCAGCAGCAGCAGCAGCAGCACACCUGGUAGAGGUAGGGAGGACAGUGAUGAGGAGGGGGCUGCUCCCAAAAGACCAUGUUUUACUGUGAGACACUGUGUCACACAGUAAACUUGGUCUUUGCCUUUGUUGGAUGGCAGCAGCCACCUCUUUGUUCACGGAUAACUGGCCUCUGUUUUUGACAGGACCAGUUUAUCCUACUGUCUUCUUUUUUUUUUCUUGAUUUCUUUCUUCAUAAUUUUAAAUAUUCAUCCAAACCCUGAGAACUAGCCUUUGCGUCUGGCUGGGCAGUUCUUGUCCCAGGUAGCGUCUGGCACUGGGACCUUUCUUUCUUUCCUGGAUGAAUACAGGUUUGAAUGUUAAUAUUUACCCUGAGAACUAGCCUUUGCGUCUGGCUGGGCAGUUCUUGUCGCAGGUUGCGUCUGGCACUGGGGCCUGCGUUUACAGUUCAGCAUGGUGGUGGGAUGGACUUUUCUUUCACCCUGGAGGCUGAGUUCAGCGCCUGGCAGGGCCGUCGACCCCCCCCAUGCAAGUUGCUCUAGCGUCUGGCAGGGGAGCAGUGCCACUGAUACUGAUGUACUGACCAGUGUGUCUGUCAGUCCAGCAGACAAAGUUUCAUAAGGAGAAGGCGCUGAGGGCACGAGGAGAAGGAGAAGGUGACACCAGGCAAUGAGACGACCGAUCUGGACCAUGGUCCUGCAGUCCAAGGAGAUGUCAGAGCGAUUGCAGGAACUACGGCUGCACAAUUACAUUCAGUGCAGCUGUGGAGGAUGGACACAACAGACACCAUAGGACCACCUGGAGAGAAGUUGUCACCUGUGUCUAUGGAGGCUCAAUGCUCAUCCUUCGGCUCUUUGCUCCCUCCAGCCUCCGGUCCCGACAGAGGGGAGCCUCCCAGUCCCAACCACAUAGAGGAAGUGUCUUUAUCACUGCUCCCUCUGUGCUGCUGGGUUUGGGAGACUCUUCACAUAAUCAGUGGUGUUGGCCUCCAUCUGUAAACAGAAGACGUUCAGGACAAGUCAUUUUCAUAAAUCAUUUGAAACAAAUUGUAAUAAAUACAUUUCAUGUUAAACAUCA